GACAGAGGUCUCGAGCGUUAGGCGGAAUCACUGGGCUUAAAGCGUGUGUAGGCGGACUUCUAAGUGCCUUGUGAAAUCCCACGGCUCAACCGUGGAACUGCUUAGCAUACUGGUUGUCUUGGGCCAUCUAGGGGCUACUGGAACAAACGGUGGAGCGGUGAAAUGCGUAGAUAUCGUUUGGAACGCCAAUGGUGAAAACAAGUAGCUGGGGAUGUGCCGACGCUGAGACACGAAAGCCAGGGGAGCGAACGGG
rnacentral:rRNA from 1 species